UGGUAUCUUCCCGGACCAGGGCUCGAACCCAUGUCCCCUGCACUGGCAGGCGGACUCUCAACCACUGCGCCACCAGGGAAGUCCCAAAUCAAUCAUCUUACAGGUGCCACACAGCUCGACUGGGGCACACGCACCCCUGGGAUAUAUUAAUACAAUGACAAGCAAGAAACACAUGCCCCCUCCAGAGGCUCCCUGGUGGCUGAAACACAUUGUUGAAAGUUACCCCUUCAGAUGCUGGGACCACGUUCUCCUCCCUCUGCCUUUAGGGUCCUCCACAGGCCACUCUGAAGAACACUGACGAAGCACGGAUGGGCGCGACGUGUGGACCUCAGGAUAAAGGGCCUCCGUGGAGCUCCACCUGGAAGCUGGCUGCCCCUGCCCACGGUGCUGACUCACCCUCUGGAGGGAGAAGAGAACAAAAGCUUAUCGGAGAAAAUGUGAUCCCUGCUUUAGAAUGGAACCCUGCUCCCAGCUCCAAUGCCAGCUCUCACUGGGGCUGUACGACGCUUUCACGCCAGUUCCCCGUUGAGCCAACAACCGUGAGGCAGUCAGUGAGCCUGAUAAGUGGGUUUUAUCCCCAUUUUACAACAGAAGAAACCAAGGCUCAGAGACUCCACCCAAAAGUGGCAGCCAUUUGUCAGGCACCAACCAUAGCGAGAGACCAGGACCAAGACCUGGGCCACCAUUUCUAUUCCACAGGCAGACCCCCGUCACCUGCAAAGCACCAGAUUUCAAACUGGACUCAAUUCCACCCCUACGCUUACUGCUUUAGAAUCUAUUUUUUAAACGCAAUUUUAGGGGUUUUGGUAAUCGCCUUAAAUGGAGAAAAACAUUAUGCAGCAUUCACUUGAUAUUAGCCAAACUACAAGAAGUAUCAAUUGAUUUUAAAAAAAAAAUUUAUGUACCUUGCCUUAGAAGUGAUUUCUGGAUAAAAUUUUCUAGAGCUUAUAAUUCCAUCCACGAUGUGAUCUAAUAUUGCCUAUUUCUAAAGCAUUUUACAUAACUUUGCUGUACACCUGAAACUAACAUAACAUUGUAAAUCAAGUAUACUCCAAUAAAAUUUCUUUUAAAAAGGCA